AGAUGGGGGCCUUACAUGGGAAUGAUUGACGUUGAGGGAGAUGAGAGCAAAAAUGAAUGAGAGAGAUGAGAGGAACGAAAUUCUUGAACCAUCUCACCUCUUAAAUCGUUUUGAGGUGUUGAAUCGUCUCAGUCAGGGUGCGGUCUAGUUCAAUAUGCUUUGAACUACCUAGUUUGGGAUGGUUCUGUGGUCCCUACUACAUAUUAUCCAUGUGAAUCCUUUUAGACUUUAAAUUGUUUAAUUGUAAUAAUAAAGAUAAAACCCAAAGAUCAAUUUUCUAUUUUUAUUCAAUUGUUACAAGUUCAAACCAAAACAUGCAGUUUUAUAAGCUGAAUUAAUUUGCAGAAUUUUGAUAUGCAGAAUUUUUUAAUAACUGAGAUAUAUUAUGUCGAGAACACAAAAAAGCAGAAUUCUAUUUUUUUAGAAAUACAAAUUAUAUAAAUAUAAUAUAUAAAAAUAUGAUUUAGAGAAAUUUAGUUUACUGUAGUUUUAUUUCACAGAAAUUAUUAUCCAGAAUUCAAUAUAUGCAGAUAUUAAGUUUUUGAAAUAUAAUAUACAUAAUUAUAAAAACCUCAUUCUCAGAAAAUUAAAUCUGAUUUAAUAAAUUCUGCAGAGCUCUCUUUCAAAAUAGAAUAAUAACAUACAGAAAUUCGUUAAUGAGAAAUUUAGAUUAUUAUUACAGAAACUAAUUUGUAGGAUUUCUCUAUUUGUAAUGAAAUUAAGUUGUUGAGUUAUACUACAUAGAAAUAGAACAAUACUCAGAAAUUCAAAAAUCAUUGCUGGAAUAAUGCUAUAGGAAUUAAUAUCAAUACUAAAAAGAUACUUGCUAGUAGAAUUAAAAUUGGAAAGAAAAUAAAAUUAGAGAUACUAUUAACUAUUUGCUAUAUUAAAAAAAUCUUUAAAAGGAAAUCUUUAAAAAGAUACCUGUAGUGCACCAAAUGAUAACACUGCAGGUAUCUGCAUGAUAGCUCUAGUAUAUAUACUAUAUAUAAAUCAAGACAAAAUAGGACUCAAGUCCUCAUGGUAAUAGAUAUAAGGCCUCUCAUAGUUUUCUUUGUUUCUUUCUUCUUUUUUUUUUGGUACAGCGGCGGUUCAUACUCUACGGGUGUGGACACGGCCAAGAAAAUCAGAAAACAACAAGGCAGAAAAAGAAGCUGGCAAUCUGUCACCCUCCAUCCACACACAGCCACCAGAGUGGGGGGCCGCAUAGGAGGCAACCCAAUCAGUUGCUCCAUUCGCUUUUCUGUAGGUAUGUGUGGCCUAAUGGGCAACAUACGCCUGUAGCAGUCUGUGAAUAUUAAGGAGCAGUGGCCUACCCUCUUCCGCACGAUCCCGACCCCGGAUCCAGUCGAUCACUGUAGCCGAGUCGCCCUCGAGAAUAAGCCGAUCUGCACCCAAAGUCCGACGGGUAAAAGAGAUGCCCUCCCAAGCCGCUCUGAGCUUAGUACACACCACCGAGGCAUCGAGAAUCCGUUGACC
rnacentral:lncRNA from 1 species